AACGAACGCUGGCGGCAGGCCUAACACAUGCAAGUCGAGCGCGCCUUCGGGUGAGCGGCGGACGGGUGAGUAACGCGUGGGAAUAUGCCCUUCUCUACGGAAUAGUCCUGGGAAACUGGGGGUAAUACCGUAUACGCCCUUUGGGGGAAAGAUUUAUCGGGGAAGGAUUAGCCCGCGUUGGAUUAGGGAGUUGGUGGGGUAAUGGCCUACCAACCCGACUAUCCAUAGCUGGUUUGAGAGGAUGAUCAGCCACACUGGGGCUGAGACACGGCCCAGACUCCUACGGGAGGGAGCAGUGGGGGAUCGUAGACAAUGGGGGCAACCCUGAUCUAGCCAGGCCGCGUGAGUGAUGAAGGCCUUAGGGUUGUAAAGCUCUUUCAGCUGGGAAGAUAAUGACGGUACCAGCAGAAGAAGCCACGGCUAACUCCGUG
rnacentral:rRNA from 1 species